UUUGCUUGCUUUGCCUCUACUAGUGUCUGUUGCUUGCUUUGCGUAGGAGUAUUAGGCUGCUGCUGCCUGCUGAAGCAUUUCUGAUGAUAGCCCCGGGAACAGCUCUCCACUGAUAGCACUUGUACUAGCAGUAGAGAGAAACUGCUUCAAUUCUCAGGAUCUUUUUCUUUUUCAACAAGAAUAAAGUGACGGAUGGAUACGUUUCGUGCAUCAUUCAUAUAUAUAGGAUAAUAACCAUCUUGUUUGAAAGUUGGAACCAUUCUAGGGUUACUUAUUAUUACUAGCCUGUUGCAAUGGCAUCCACUGAAUGAUUUUUUUGGUUUUAUAGGCUGUGGCGGUAUGGAAUCAUGACCUUGGAUCCCGCAGGAGGUAUAGCUGUGCUGUGACAACCCACACCCAGCUUUGGUUCAGUCUUCAGUGUGCAGUGCGUAUGUAGUAUGAUGUUUGGCACACAGCCACAGUGGCACAUACACGCACACACUCCCAUUCCUUGAAGAUGGCACACGUCCAAGAGGAGUCAGGCAGGCACACUGUGGCCUGUGGUGACUGCCUGACUGGUGAGAGAGGAGGGAAGGAGAGGAAGCAGCAGCAGCUAGGUUGGCAAGACAGACAUGGGGAGCUGUUGAGACUUGAGACCAGAGCGGAGAGGUGGUGGUGUGACCUUGGGCUUGCUAUGCUCACAUGAGAAAGAUCAGAAGGGGUGCAAUAAUAUAAAGGCAGUGCAUGUGAUGGCGAUUGGCGAGAUUGGUGCUCCCUGCUCCUCCAGGAAACACUCCUCGUCAGUCUCCCCCCGGCAUCAGUUACCAUAAUUAAAGGCCGAAACACCUAGCUGUACGUGAGCCUAUGGUGUUUAUCCAAUCAAGAAGGCAAGCAGCAUGAUAGUAUGAAAGAGAUUAGUAGCUAUGGGGCAAAAAAAUAAAGGAAGAGUGGAUGCGAAUGAAUGAAUGAAUGGGAUGGAAGGCAGGAAAAGGAUGGAAAAGAAUGGAGACAAGGAUGGCAAUGUGAGCAACAGCAGAGUAGGUGGCUAAAGAACGAAGGAGGCAUGGCGAUGGCAUGGAGAAGUGUGAGCUUGGGGCCAAAGGAAAGGGGCGCGCUGGGCCGCUGGCUGGCUCUGACAGCACCCAUAUGCUGCUUUGGUUUGAGCACUGCAUUUAGUGGAGAAAGACACAACAGACACCGGUGCGCGUACGUCGGGGCGACGGCCAUGAUUCGUGAGAACUGUGAAAGCGCAUUAUUAGCACUAAGCAUGAGCCUGAUUGUACAGUUUGGCAGCCUUGUGCUAGUGCCCUGUUAUCUACUGUUGCUUACUAGAAUCUGUCGUCAGAAAUUGAAAGCCUCUGGAGUAUGGUACUGAACUGCUGCUGAAAGCGUCACGUAGACCGCCCAGGUAGAUGCUUCAAGGUGCUUUCAUAUCUUACUUAACCACUGUUGGGGUACAACUGUCAUGGUAUAUAUAACCACUGUUGGGGGUCAUGACAGUUGCAGAGUGUAUGCAUUUCUGCAAUUACCCAUUAUUGUAUUUGCAGGCGCGAGUGUAUCCGAUUCGGAUCCUCCCUCGUUUGAUAUUUCCCCUGUAGAAUUCGCAUGCCAAUGCCAGCAUCAAUAAUGUUCAGUUGGGUGGAGUGGAGUGGUCUCUGAACUGAAAGCAGGAAGACUGCAUGACAGGGGCCGGCCUUUGGCACCAGCUGCCCUGCCUCUGCCUGCCAAUUUGAAUGGGCAUAUCAUAUACAAUCCAGUUGCUGUUGCACCGUCCGCUCAUCGGCAUCGGCAUCGGCAUCGCACCUCCCCCUUGUGUGUUUCCUGCACUGCACCAAGGUCGCCGAGCCGUUGCUCCCCCCACUCACUCGAUCGCUUUUGUUCAGAUCUCUUUGGUCUCUUCUUUCCUUAAAGCAUGGGAGAAAAUAAAUACCCGCUGCUAAGCCUGCCGAGAGCAUGAGGUGGUGGGGUUUGGCGUGCCAUGGGAAUUCGGUUCUCCACACCACACCACACCACUGGUAGCUCCUUUGCUUGCUUGCUUGCCUGCCCAGUUGCCCUCUCUCUGACCAAUCUUGCUUACCAUGGACUACUAGCCAGCAUCUCUUUCUCCGGUUUGGUUUGGUUUGGGUUGGCUUUCAUGCCAUCUUUCUGGUAUUCAAGGAUGUCACAUGAAGCUUGCAUGCCCAUCCGAGCCGUGUGCCGUGCCGUGUUACGGUCCCCCACGGAGAACCGUGUUAAUGGCGCCUUUGGAUCUUUUGGAUGGCGAUGGGGGCAUUCUCAUGUCCUUUGCGAAUUGAUGAUUGCAUGCAUGCAUGCGGUGGUGAAACCGCAGCGGUAAUGCAUGGUAACUAGCAGUAAUGGUGUUGGUAUUAAUUUUGUGCUUGUGCAUCUGAACCCGGUCGGUUCGUGAUGAAGCCAACAGCAGCAGUAUGCCAGCAGUAUGUACAAAAAUGGGGGGCACUGUGUUUGUCACGUCUGCUAGCUAGUAGCUAGCUGCAUUAUUUGAUAUAUAUGUACCGUACAUACAUAAGGUCGUGUGUGUGCGUCGGCCAUGAUUGCAGCAUUCUCGCCAUUAUGUAUGUAGAAUAAAAAUCUUUCGGCUAGUGUUUGUGUCAUCCAUCAUACGAUACGACUGGCCGGACCGGACCGGCGCUAGCUAGCUGCUUGCGUUUUUCGUUGAGUGGUUUGCCAUCAGCUUCUCUCAGCGGAAAUAUUCACAAAAGUGCCGUGUCUUAUUGAGGCUGACAACCACCUCCAGUUGAGGCAUCCAACUCAUUUCUGAAUUCCCAACCCAACCCAACCCAACCCCAUGGUUGAUUUGAUUAAGUGGGAGGGCAGAUGCAAUAAGCAAUUCAGCUGCAGCCUGACACAGACUGUC
rnacentral:lncRNA from 1 species